GAUGAAGAACGUAGCGAAAUGCGAUAAGUAAUGUGAAUUGCAGAAUUCAGUGAAUCAUCGAAUCUUUGAACGCACAUUGCGCCCGCCAGUAUUCUGGCGGGCAUGCCUGUCCGAGCGUCAUUUCAACCCUCGAACCCCUCCGGGGGGUCGGCGUUGGGGAUCGGCCCCUCACCGGGCCGCCCCCGAAAUCCAGUGGCGGUCUCGCCGCAGCCUCUCCUGCGCAGUAGUUUGCACACUCGCACCGGGAGCGCGGCGCGGCCACAGCCGUAAAACACCCCAAACUCUGAAAUGUUGACCUCGGAUCAGGUAGGAAUACCCGCUGAACUUAAGCAUAUCAAUAAGCGAGGA
rnacentral:misc_RNA from 1 species